rnacentral:rRNA from 1 species
GAUGAACGCUGGCGGCGUGCUUAACACAUGCAAGUCGAACGAAGCACUUUAUUUGAUUUCCUUCGGGACUGAUUAUUUUGUGACUGAGUGGCGGACGGGUGAGUAACGCGUGGGUAACCUGCCUUGUACAGGGGGAUAACAGUUGGAAACGGCUGCUAAUACCGCAUAAGCGCACAGCAUCGCAUGAUGCAGUGUGAAAAACUCCGGUGGUAUAAGAUGGACCCGCGUUGGAUUAUCUAGUUGGUGAGGUAACGGCCCACCAAGGCGACGAUCCAUAGCCGACCUGAGAGGGUGACCGGCCACAUUGGGACUGAGACACGGCCCAAACUCCUACGGGAGGCAGCAGUGGGGAAUAUUGCACAAUGGGCGAAAGCCUGAUGCAGCGACGCCGCGUGAGCGAAGAAGUAUUUCGGUAUGUAAAGCUCUAUCAGCAGGGAAGAUAAUGACGGUACCUGACUAAGAAGCACCGGCUAAAUACGUG